UACCGAAGGUAUUACCGAUUUGAACAGUU
rnacentral:sRNA from 1 species